rnacentral:rRNA from 1 species
CUACGGGUCGCUGCAGUGGGGAAUAUUGCACAAUGGGGGGAACCCUGAUGCAGCAACGCCGCGUGGAGGAUGACGCAUUUCGGUGUGUAAACUCCUUUUAUAUGUCAAGAAAAUGACGGUAGCAUAUGAAUAAGCACCGGCUAACUCCGUGCCAGCAGCCGCGGUAAUACGGGAGGGUGCAAGCGUUACUCGGAAUCACUGGGCGUAAAGGACGCGUAGGCGGGUUGGGAAGUCAGGUGUGAAAUCCUACAGCUUAACUGUAGAACUGCACUUGAAACUUCUAAUCUAGAGUAUGGGAGGGGGAGAUGGAAUUAGUGGUGUAGGGGUAAAAUCCGUAGAUAUCACUAGGAAUACCUAAAGCGAAGGCGAUCUCCUGGAACAUUACUGACGCUAAGGCGUGAAAGCGUGGGGAGCAAACAGGAUUAGAUACCCGCGUAGUC